rnacentral:ncRNA from 1 species
GUAUUAUAAGAAAGGAGAGAAGGUUAGCACUCCCCUUGACAAAGAUGGAGGAGGCCCUCGGGCCUGACAACAGGUAUACAGCUAAAAGCAUUCAGCUUUAGAUAUUU